ensembl:snoRNA small nucleolar RNA SNORA42/SNORA80 family
GCGUGGGUUUGGAUUUAUGGCAGACCUAUCCCUGUGGGCCUCUCAUAGUGUCCCAUGCGAGAGCAAACUGUGACCCCAAACCAUUGCCUGGCCUCUGUCCAUGGGCUACUGGCACUGAGGCGGGUUACACAGCA